GAUGAACGCUGGCGGCGUGCCUAAUACAUGCAAGUCGAGCGAACGGACGAGAAGCUUGCUUCUCUGAUGUUAGCGGCGGACGGGUGAGUAACACGUGGAUAACCUACCUAUAAGACUGGGAUAACUUCGGGAAACCGGAGCUAAUACCGGAUAAUAUUUUGAACCGCAUGGUUCAAAAGUGAAAGACGGUCUUGCUGUCACUUAUAGAUGGAUCCGCGCUGCAUUAGCUAGUUGGUAAGGUAACGGCUUACCAAGGCAACGAUGCAUAGCCGACCUGAGAGGGUGAUCGGCCACACUGGAACUGAGACACGGUCCAGACUCCUACGCGAGGCAGCAGUAGGGAAUCUUCCGCAAUGGGCGAAAGCCUGACGGAGCAACGCCGCGUGAGUGAUGAAGGUCUUCGGAUCGUAAAACUCUGUUAUUAGGGAAGAACAUAUGUGUAAGUAACUGUGCACAUCUUGACGGUACCUAAUCAGAAAGCCACGGCUAACUACGUG
rnacentral:rRNA from 1 species